rnacentral:rRNA from 1 species
AGCGAACGCUGGCGGCAGGCCUAACACAUGCAAGUCGAACGAAGUCUUCGGACUUAGUGGCGGACGGGUGAGUAACACGUGGGAACGUGCCUUUAGGUUCGGAAUAACUCAGGGAAACUUGUGCUAAUACCGAAUGUGCCCUUCGGGGGAAAGAUUUAUCGCCUUUAGAGCGGCCCACGUCUGAUUAGCUAGUUGGUGAGGUAAGGGCUCACCAAGGCUACGAUCAGUAGCUGGUCUGAGAGGAUGACCAGCCACAUUGGGACUGAGACACGGCCCAAACUCCUACGGGAGGCAGCAGUGGGGAAUCUUGCGCAAUGGGCGAAAGCCUGACGCAGCCAUGCCGCGUGGAUGAUGAAGGUCUUAGGAUUGUAAAAUCCUUUCACCGGUGAAGAUAAUGACUGUAGCCGGAGAAGAAGCCCCGGCUAACUUCGUGCCAGCCGCCGCAGUAAUAC